rnacentral:rRNA from 1 species
UUGUUGCAGUUAAAAAGCUCGUAGUCGGAUUUCAGUAUUAGGCCCUUCUUCCAAUACGGUUGCUAGUGGUCUUUACUUCCUUAACAGAAUCUUUCAUUUUAUUAAUUUAAAGUGUUUGGGGCCUGUUUCUUUUACUUUGAGAAAAUUAGAGUGUUCAAAGCGGGUUUUCGCCUGGAUAUUACUCUUGGAAUAAUAAUAUAGGACUUUGGUUCUUUUUUGUUGGUGACUUAGAACCGAAGUAAUGAUUGAUAGGGACAGUUGGGGUCAUUCGUACUAUGAAGCGAGAGGUGAAAUUCAUGGACCUUUGUAUGACGAACUACUGCGAAAGCAUUUGACUAGGAUGUUCCCGUUGAUCAAGAACGAAAGUUGGGGGAUCGAAGACGAUCAGAUACCGUCGUAGUCUCAACUAUAAACUAUGCCAGCUAGGGAUUGGAGGAAGAUCAUUUUACGUCUCCUUCAGCACCUUAUGAGAAAUCAAAGCAUUUGGGUUCCGGGGGGAGUAUGGUCGCAAGGCUGAAACUUAAAGGAAUUGACGGGAGGGCACCACCAGGAGUGGAGCCUGCGGCUUAAU